rnacentral:rRNA from 1 species
ACGAGAAUAGCUUGCUAUUCGGCGUCGAGCGGCGGACGGGUGAGUAACGCGUGGGAAUAUGCCCUUCUCUAAGGAAUAGCCUCUGGAAACGGAGAGUAAUACCUUAUACGCCCUUUGGGGGAAAGAUUUAUCGGAGAAGGAUCGGCCCGCGUUAGAUUAGAUAGUUGGUGGGGUAACGGCCUACCAAGUCUACGAUCUAUAGCUGGUUUUAGAGGAUGAUC